rnacentral:sRNA from 1 species
AACAGAGGCAAAAAAA